rnacentral:rRNA from 1 species
UACAGAGGCCCAAGCGUUACUGAGAAUCACUGGGUUUAAAGGGUAGCGUAGGUGGCGCGUUAAGUCCGUUGUGAAAUCCCGUUGGCUCAACCAAGGAAAUGCUUCGGAUACUGGCGUGCUUGAGGCUGAGUGAGGGGUCACUGGAACUGACGGUGGAGCGGUGAAAUGCGUAGAGAUCGGAAAGAACACCAACGGCGAAAGCACUCUGCUGGGCCGACACUGACACUGAGAGACGAAAGGCUAGGGGAGCAAUGGG